GUGGGGAAUAUUCCGCAAUGGACGAAAGUCUGACGGAGCAACGCCGCGUGAGUGAUGAAGGUUUUCGGACUGUAAAGCUCUGUUGUUUAGGACGAAAGUGCCUGUUGCGAACAGUUACAGGUAUUGACGGUACUAAACGAGGAAGCCACGGCUAACUACGUGCCAGCAGCCGCGGUAAUACGUAGGUGGCAAGCGUUGUCCGGAAUUAUUGGGCGUAAAGAGCAUGUAGGCGGAGAUUUAAGUCUGUUGUGAAAAUGCGGGGCUCAACCCCGUAUUGCGAUGGAAACUGAAUUUCUUGAGUGCAGGAGAGGAAAGGGGAAUUCCCAGUGUAGCGGUGAAAUGCGUAGAUAUUGGGAGGAACACCAGUGGCGAAGGCGACCACCUGGACUGAUACUGACACUGAGGUGCGAAAGCGUGGGGAGCAAACAGGAUUAGAAACCCGAGUAGUCC
rnacentral:rRNA from 1 species